rnacentral:snoRNA from 1 species
AAAUGAUGAGAUACCAUAGCUGGCACCAGUCAGAGGGACGGACUACCAUCCGUCUAUUUUGCUGAAUAGCUUUGCGUCCAGCAAUACGCUAGCUGGACCUGAU